rnacentral:misc_RNA from 1 species
GAAAUGCGAUAAGUAGUGUGAAUUGCAGAAUUCAGUGAAUCAUCGAAUCUUUGAACGCACAUUGCGCCCUUUGGUAUCCCUUGGGGCAUGCCUGUUCGAGCGUCAUCUAAACCCUCAAGCCCUGCUUGGUGUUGGGUGCCUGUCCCGCCCCCGUUCGUGGACUCACCUCAAAUCCAUUGGCGGCCCUCGUGCCGGCCCCGAGCGCAGCAGAAACGCGGUCUCGUGGCCCGGCGGAGCGUGCCCCCAGAAGCAACAUUCACCGUUUUGACCUCGGAUCAGGUAGGGAUACCCGCUGAACUUAAGC